rnacentral:lncRNA from 1 species
GCUAAAUGAUAAACCAAUAUUUAAACUUUAUAUUUCAUCAUUUUAUAUUUCUUUUCUUGUCUAAUUUAUUUGAAAGCUUUAAGUAUUUAUGAUACUUUUGAUAUAUUGUGUUUGUAGGAGUAACAUGAUCCAAAGAACUUAUUUUUCUGCUAUGUGGGGCUGCUAGAAACUAAAUGAAAAUAAAAGGAGAGCAUCGGGAGGAGAAUAUAGAGGAAAGCAAGCUGCCUUUGCAGCUGGAGGAAAGCAGGUCAGCGACAAAGGGAUCCAAGUGUCACGGGAUGACUCUUUAAGCCUUCCGCCCGUGCGGCACUUAGACUUGAAUACCUCGAUGAACAAGCUAAGUAAGCCUUCGAAGCCUCGCUUCCCCGGAUCGAAUCACAAAGAAAGCUAAGAUAGCUUGGAGAAUGCUAAGAUCACUUAGAAGAUGGGAGAAAGGAAGCUUUGUAUUGAAAGUUAAGAGAACUUUACAAUUACUUACAAUUCUUGGAUGGUUUGGCCAAAUGGCCUUACCUCCUAUUUAUAGGCCUAAGUCACCUCCUCAAUGGAGGGUUCUAGAAUCCCCUACUUACAUCCAAAAAUAUCUAGCAUAGUUCUAGAUACAACUUGCCUAAUCUAGAUUAUUCUAGGUGAGGCUUAAAUAUGUACACUUGUGUGGAAUGUUCCGGAAUGCCCUAAGAUUAUCUUGAAUGCUCCGCCACGUUCUUGAUUUCUCCGGGACGUUCCAGAAGCUUCCAUGAAGACAUGGCUUCAUGGGCUUAGAUAUGAUGUCUUGGGCAUUUUCUUUGUUUUUAACACAUGGCCCGUGACACAAGGAAGUCAGAAGAAUUAGGGGACAGCAACUGGCAAAGCAGAGAAAAUGGAGGAGUCCACACGGGGGACGGAAAAAGAAUCCAAAGAAGGGGAAAAAGACUGACAGCUCGCAGAAGAAGGGGGGCCUCGGUGAGAAAGGAUAAGAAGACGCAGGAGAAGAGAGAGAGAGAGUAGGGCGGUCUUGGGAGCUGGAGAAGGGGCGCUGCCUUUGGCAGCGAGAGAGGAUUGCAGGGAGGCUGCUUUGGAGCAGCGUGAGAAAAGAAAGAAAAAAAAAACAGAAUAAAAAAAUAAAAGAAAGGCAGACUGCUGCCUUGCGGCAGCAGAAAACCGAAGAGGAGAGAAGCAGGAAGCUGCCUUAGGCAGCGUGAGGGCAGAAGAACAGAGGCAGGGGAGAGACUGACGCGAGAGGACAGGGAAGACUAAGUGUGCGAAAAAAAAAAAAGAAAUAAGAAGAUAGAAGCAGAGAGACUGACGAGAGAGGCAGUGUGCAGAAAACAGAGAGGACAGACCGAGGGCAGAAGCAGCAAGCACUCUCCUCUCUCUCGGUUAAAUCUUUCUAAAUCUAUAUUUUAUUUCUGUUUUAAUAAUGUGUAAUUAAAUUUUAUUUUGGCUAGAGGUUAAUUCAAAACCAUGAAUAUAUUUGUAAUAUGAAUUGAUUACCUUCGGUUGUGAUUUCAUAAGUUGUGAUUUCAAUUUACUUAUCCGUUCGUAUAAAAACUGAUUUGUGUAUGUUGGUUGAGAGUGCACGCUUAAUUUACAUGCAUGAAUUUGAUGCUAGAAUAUAAGUGAAUUUCACCUAAUCGUUAUGAACUUAUUUUCACAAGUAGUAAAGGUUGCUAGUCACAAUCACGUUAAGUAAAUUCUUGGCAAGAGUAUCAUGCUUUUCAUAGUUACGAAUGCCUCGUCAAUGCUUAUAGGUUUCACAAAGUUUAAUGAUCUUUGAUUGUAUCUCUAUUGUGCUUUUCACGUAGGGGACUUUUGAAGAAUGUUUUGAAUUGUUGUAUGCGUUUUCCCGUCCAAUUCAAUAACUUAAGGAAAACUUGAAGAUUAAAAAAGUGCUGUUCACGGUUAAUCUGGAGUAUUGAAAUUUACAAUUUAUUAAAAGAACAACUGGAAAUCAUUUUGUAUGCAAGUAUAACAUGUGUGGAGAAGAACCCUCUAGCUAGUCCGUCAUUUAUCAUUUUUACCUUAAUUUUAUGUUUUUUGUCAAUUCUGUAAUUUAAUUAAGUUUAAUUUACUUUUCAUCAAAAACCAAACACCCAUCCAUUAUUAAAUUAUAUUAUUUAGUUAGUUUUCUUUAUUGUUAGUCUUUUAAUUUAAUUUCCGUCCAUUUCAGUUCCUAGUGUUUAAUUUAAUUGUUUUCAUUAUUUUGAGUCAUUUUAAGUGUGUUUCGAGUUAUUAGAGUUUUUAGCCUAAUUUUGUGUCCUUGAGUCUUAUUUAAUAUUUUUAAAUUAAUUUAGAAUAGAUUAGCAAUCCCUCCUAAUCCCCGGCCUAGAACGAUACCCUACUUACAUCUAUACUACAAUUGUCAAAAAGAGGGUUUAAUUUUGUGUGUUAAUUAUUUUACGCAUCAAAUUUUGGCGCCGUUGCCGGGGAUUAGUAACUUUGCUAAUCCUUUUAUUUUUGUUUUUGUUUAUGUUUAUAUUGGUGUUUGUGUAUUUUACUUUUGAUAUUUGAUUUAUUUUUCUUUCUUUGAUUUUAGGUUCAAAUGGAGCCGAGGGAAAUUUAAAGGAAAGAUGCGUCCGGCUAAAGACGUUAAAUCAAGCGCUUCUUGGGAGGCAACCCAAGCAUUCAACAAAGGGAGACUUUGGAAUCACUAACCCAAUCAGCUUUGCAUUCUUCCACCCUUAUCUUUACUGCUUUCAUUUUGUUUUGUUUAGUUAGUUGUGUUAUUUGGUUGAUUUCUGUAAGUUUGUGUUAUUUAGUUUAAGUGUGGGGGAAGGUUAACCAAAGUCUCUUUACAUUAAUUUACAUAUAUAAAAUAAAAAUAAAAUAAAAAAAAAAGAUAAAAUUUAAAAUUAAUGAUAAAAAAAAAAAAAAAUUACAUAAAAAAAAAAUAAUAAAAAAAAAAUUUAAAUAAAAAAAAAUUAAAAAAAAAAAAAAAAAAAAGUACAAAUAUUUUACAAUGAUGUAAACUAAUAGUAUUCAUUGGUCGGGUGGUGCUUCAGUAGUAGGCGGGGCUUCAGCAGUCGGCGGGGCCACAGAAGGAGGAGGCAGCAGAGGUUGAUCAGUUGGAGCUUCACUACGCGGUGCCGCUCCAGAAGACGAAGGCAGAUGCGGUUGGAACAAACCCACAAACCUCCGAUGAUCAAGUAAAAUUUGACCAUCGGUGUCCUGCAUCUGGUCAAUCUUCCUCUUCAUGCUGGUGGCAUAGCUGUGUGCGAGCUUGUGCAAUUCCUUAUUCUCAUGCUUGAGCCCUUUAAUCUCUUGCUUGAGACUCUGUAUUUCAGCCACCAAGGAUUCAACGUGACGGGUUCGGGCAUAUAGGCGUUGGGCCAUGUUGGAUACGGAACCCGCACACUGCACGCUAAGAGCCAGAGACUCCUUAACCGCCAAUUCAUCAGACCGCCUAGCGAGCAGUCUGUUAUCUCUGGGAGUGACAAGGUUUCGGGCCACCACCGCAGCUGUCAUAUCAUUUUUUAUCACCGAAUCCCCCACGGUAAGGGGACCGGUAGGGGAUAUGAAGGAUGGCCGCCAUAUGUUGUCUGGUGAAGGCGGAGCUGCCUCUUCACCAAUGUUCAAGUCAAAACGACGAUCAGAAGGGCCAGACAUUUUUCAGAGGUGGUAAAGAAAGAAGAGAGUCGGAAUGAUCAAGAUUAAACAAGUGCAAGAAGGGAGUGUUUAUAGGAGGGUACUCAAGUGUGUUGUGGAACAAAAUUAACGCCUCUAUAAAAAGAAGAAAUCAAAGAGGCACUCCUCAGAGAGGCGUCCUUUCGCAAAUCGAAGAGUCGGGGCACCUUUCUCAAAAGCCGGAUUCUUUUCUCAAAAGAGGAGUUUCCGUUCUCAAAAGUCGGAUUCUUUUCUCAAAAGAGGCGUUCAUUUCUUAAAAGUUGGGCUUGCUCAGAAACCACGAGCCGAACCCCGGAUUUCGCAAGAUCAAUUCGUCCAGACGUGUUGUCACCCGUCACACGCAAACUCAGCUCUGCGAAAAUCACGGGCAGUCUGUCGAAGUGCCGAUUCCAACCAUCUGUCUCUCUCUGCCUAGUCAGCAUUUGUCACAUGCAACUGGCAGCUUUGCGGAAAUUACGGGCAGCUUUGUCAGAAAAGCGCGUAAUUUGUACUAUUCAUCCAUCCACCGGCUGCCGACAAUGAGUGAGAGAACAGUUCCGGUUGUGAAGACAAGUCCUAUAAGUUUCUACCUUCGCCUUCCACAGCAAAAGCACACUCUCUCAGCACACCCUUUCAACACUUCUUCAUAUCCGAAAAUGCAUUCCCAAAGAAUCCUCUCGAGCCACUCUGUGUUCCUCAUUCCUUGGGGAUACUCCUGCGAACAACCCAUUCAAAGCAAAAGUAUUUCAUAUCAUAAAGGUUGAAAGCAAGAGUAUCUCAUAUCAUGCUUUCUCCAUGUCCUUCUCCUUGUCUUUGUUUUCCGACAAGGAGAAAGAGAGCAAUCAGCCAGCAUUUGGUAUCAAUCUUCCGAUCUGGAGCCAACUGCCUGGAACCCCUUCCUGAUUGCUUACCUAGCCUUGCUCUCGAGUACUCAUCUUCAUCAUUUUAUGCUUUCUCUUCGUCUACCACAUCUGCCUGGGGGACAGUAAGGGAAGUGAAAAUGAUACCUCGAAGCAUGUGGAGACAAUUCAGCUAGGAACAAGGAGAAAGAAAGCAAGAGGUGGGCACUUGGAAAGAUUGAAGAAAGAAACAGACCAACACCUUUCCCUCGUGCCUGCCCGUUGUGCAGAAGAAACAAGCAGAGAAGAAUGCAGCUUGCACAAUCAUCCCAGCGGAAGGAGUCCGAACUGAGGAACUAGAGAAGCUGCCACAUCUGCUUGGAGAAUAAAUAAGGAACUGCAACAUAACCAAAGAGCAAAGCUUCGCCGUACAAUAUCAUAAAAUCAUCACUUGCAAGUGAAAAGCUAAGUGUCACCCUGUUCAAGAGGAAAGCUGUGGAAAGUCAACAAGCACGACCAAUGAUUACUUAUUAGUUUUAAUUCAUUAUCUUUUAUCGUAAUUUUCAAUUUUUCGUUUGCAAUUUUUUUUUAAUUAAUUUUCUUGCGUACUUAACUGAAUUAUUUCUUUUCUUUGCAGGAACUUUUGGUUAUUUCCACCCUUGAAGUUGAUUGCAGAAUUUUAGCUUGGGGGUCAUCGCUUGAUUUUACUGCAAAUUAGGGAAGUUUUCAGUCCAAUUGCUUUAUUUUGUUUUUUUAUUAUUUUGUUUAUUUUAUUUAUUUUUGCAUUAUAGUGUUUUCUGACAUUGGGGACAAUGUCAAGUUUAAGUGUGGGGGUAGAAAUCUCCAGAAUUUCAUUUGUCUCUGUGUUGUUGUUUUUUUUUUGUGUUCUUAAUUAGUUUUGUUUUCUUUAAAAAAAAAAAAUUAAAAAAAUUUCGGAAAAUUUAAAAUCCAAAAAUAUUGUCUUGUUUCCCUUAUUGUUUUGAAUUAGAUUUUUGUUAGUUUCCCGACCCAAUGAUAUAAUUAGAUCAAAUUUGAAUCACGAUUAUCAAGAACUUAGUUAACAUGUGUUUUAUGAAAUUCCUAAUUCUCUUGUUAGUUUUGUACAUGUUUGAUCAUCUUUGAAAAACCAAAUGCACAUAGCCUUGUUGAUGUGAAACUAAAGUAUGACUUAAAGCUUCAUAUGUGAAUUUAGUGACCAUAUACAUCCUAUGUGAGUUUUUGAGCCGAUUGAAAGUGUGUGCAUUUUUCAUACACUCCUAUUCUUUCAUGUGUGAUGAACUUAUGUGAGAUACAUCUCUAGAACUUGCGUAACGAUCUUUCGAAAUGUUUGUCAUUGAUUGCAUGAACUUGGAAAUGAUAGAGGCAUUAGGUUUACCACCAUGGCCCAAAUAACCAUGUUUCCCAAAGAAAAAUGAUAUCAUUAGAUUGCCAAUUUGAGCCGUGUAUGUUGAGCCUUUUAUUUCUUAUCACCAGAUAUGUCUACCCUUAUACCUGAAACAUUUUUCCUUACCCUUUCCAAGUGAGCAAUGCGAAAUUGUCUUAUGAGAAACGUUUGUGAAGUACUGUGAAGAUGUUUGGCAAAAGAAUAAGUGUGGGGGUAUUUCAUGUUUGUGAUUAAAAAAAAAAAAAAAAAAAAAAAAAAAAAAAAAAAAAAGAUUGUAUAAAAAAAAAAAUAAAAAGUUUUUAAAGUUCAGUUUAAGAGUAUGGUUGGAGGUGCUAGAAGAAUUGCUGGAGAGCUUGAGUUCUUAUAAAUCUAAAGAAAAGAAUUGCUUGAAAUGUAGCUUGGAACUUGUGUUUUCCUAUUCUUUCGUUUCAAUAACCCUAUCCCUAAGCCUCAUUACAUCCAAUAAAAGUCCUCUUGAUUUAAGUUUUGCAAUUAUGACUGUGGAGAAGUGAUCUUUAUGCAAGCUUAUGGUAGAAAUUUCACAUUUUUCUUUGAGCGAAACACACUAAAACUAAACACAUAUGUGAUUGAGUGUAUAUCCCGUGAGAAGGUUACUAGUUUGCAUAUGAUGAUUUUAAAAAUAAAAACUUGAAAUUGCAUUAGCAUGGCUAUCUCACACACUACACUUCAAGGAUGAUUCAAAGAUUACUGCUAAUAUUUGAAUAAGGAAGAUGAACUUGGAUUAGUUCCUUGAUGCUAGCUAUGGUUCUUGAUGAUUUGUUUUCUUGAAUGAAAUUCUAUGAGGGUCACAUAGGGGGAAACUAAUGUUUUUCAUGUUAGUACUUUUUUCUAGUUUUCUUGGUUUUGCUCGAGGACUAGCAAAAAGUUAAGUGUGGGGGUAUUUGAUCGGAUCAUAUUUAUAUAUAUUUUUUACUUCGAAUUCACUCGUCUUUUCUUAGUUAGUUCCUUAUAUUUUUGAGCUAUUUACGUUAUUUUUGUGUUUAUAGGAUUUGUUAUGCAAAGAAAAAAAAUAAAAAUAGAAUAAGUGAAAUUUUAUUCGUGAAAAGCAAAUUUAAAUUACAAUAUUGCUAAACCAUUGUGACGCUAAAUGAUAAACCAAUAUUUAAACUUUAUAUUUCAUCAUUUUAUAUUUCUUUUCUUGUCUAAUUUAUUUGAAAGCUUUAAGUAUUUAUGAUACUUUUGAUAUAUUGUGUUUGUAGGAGUAACAUGAUCCAAAGAACUUAUUUUUCUGCUAUGUGGGGCUGCUAGAAACUAAAUGAAAAUAAAAGGAGAGCAUCGGGAGGAGAAUAUAGAGGAAAGCAAGCUGCCUUUGCAGCUGGAGGAAAGCAGGUCAGCGACAAAGGGAUCCAAGGAAGUCAGAAGAAUUAGGGGACAGCAACUGGCAAAGCAGAGAAAAUGGAGGAGUCCACACGGGGGACGGAAAAAGAAUCCAAAGAAGGGGAAAAAGACUGACAGCUCGCAGAAGAAGGGGGGCCUCGGUGAGAAAGGAUAAGAAGACGCAGGAGAAGAGAGAGAGAGUAGGGCGGUCUUGGGAGCUGGAGAAGGGGCGCUGCCUUUGGCAGCGAGAGAGGAUUGCAGGGAGGCUGCUUUGGAGCAGCGUGAGAAAAGAAAGAAAAAAAAAACAGAAUAAAAAAAUAAAAGAAAGGCAGACUGCUGCCUUGCGGCAGCAGAAAACCGAAGAGGAGAGAAGCAGGAAGCUGCCUUAGGCAGCGUGAGGGCAGAAGAACAGAGGCAGGGGAGAGACUGACGCGAGAGGACAGGGAAGACUAAGUGUGCGAAAAAAAAAAAAAAGAAAUAAGAAGAUAGAAGCAGAGAGACUGACGAGAGAGGCAGUGUGCAGAAAACAGAGAGGACAGACCGAGGGCAGAAGCAGCAAGCACUCUCCUCUCUCUCGGUUAAAUCUUUCUAAAUCUAUAUUUUAUUUCUGUUUUAAUAAUGUGUAAUUAAAUUUUAUUUUGGCUAGAGGUUAAUUCAAAACCAUGAAUAUAUUUGUAAUAUGAAUUGAUUACCUUCGGUUGUGAUUUCAUAAGUUGUGAUUUCAAUUUACUUAUCCGUUCGUAUAAAAA